GAGCAAACUCAACUGUGGGUGAAAGCCCUCUUCAGUACCUUCAUUUUGGCGGUGGUUUCACUUCGAUUGACCUCCUGAAACUGAAAUGGUUCACAGAUCAAGAUCUGGUCAGAUCUGACUUUGUCGAAUUAAACCAGGAGCUUGGAAACGAAUUUUUGAAUGAAACCAAUUGGGAUGUUAUCUACCAGGGGAUAUUUGGUUUAUACCAUGGUGAUACCCGAGAAAGGCAAUUGCUAAGUUGUGAUACUCUCAUACCUUUACUAGAUGCGAACGAUUCCGGAGAAGAAGAAGAAGUGGUUCGGACAAGGAUUUUAUUUAUAUUGACGGGAUUCUUAUAUUGAUGAAGUUGAAGAAGUCCAGGGACAAAUAAGCCAAGGC